GAGGGGCGGGAGGGGGCGGGGCGGGCGCAGGUGCACCGGACCGGAAGGGGCGGGGGCGGAAGCCGCGCUGGGGCACGUGCAGGGGCCAGUUGAGGAAGUCGACCCGAAGGCCACGGCAGAGUAGGUGUGGGGCGCUCUGUGUCGCUACGGUGUGUCACUGAGGAGCCGCACCAUCCGGGAGGGGCCGGAGGGGCUUGGCGGCCGCCCAGCGGAGCCCCUUUCUUCCCAGGGACGACAGAAGCUGGAAGCCAAGGUCGUCUUCAGUGAAUAGCAAAUGUGGUCAAGUGAUCUUCGUGGAAGCUCGUCAGGAUGACAUCUCUAGAACGCUCCUGAGGAGGACGUCUGAGCCAGCACUGAAGUGGCGUCCCUUCAAGGAUUGUCAUCGCCCUUCCUCGGCCGGUAUCAGAGAAUACGCUGUAGAGAAAAGUCCCACUUGUUCGGAAAGCGGCUUUGAGGCGAACCCUUAAUCUAAAACGUCAGGAGUACGUUCUCUCCCUUCAGGUACCAGCCUCUCUCGUCGUGCGGUUCGAAAUCGGGAUUAAUAUUUUAACUUCUCACUUACGGGAUCUUUCCGAGUCGGAGCCAGGCUUAAUUAGCCGGCAUUGGGCAUCCGGCGUCCCAAUGUGGAACUUGCAUUCCUUAGAUAUUGGUUCGUUUAUGCUCCCGGAGGAGGAGGCAGCUCCUCUCUGUCCGCUCCGAGGAAGGCGCGCCUCGAGUGGUAUCUUAGCUCAGCCAAGUGCGCGGUGCAGCUUCCACGGUGGUUUGGGGGCACGCGGCGCUCUCUCUCCUAUUUAAUCGCUCGCCUCGCUGUACCGGCCUCCACUCUGUGCCAUUACGUUUUGGGGGAUACGAUGUUGACCCGCGGGUGGUCCAAUAAAAUGCGUGUUCCGUACUAAUGAGCCAUAUUGCAGUUC